AUGCACGCUGGCGGCGUGCCUAAUACAUGCCAGUCGAGCGAACGGACGAGAAGCUUGCUUUUCUGAUGUUAGCGGCGGACGGGUGAGUAACACGUGGAUAACCUACCUAUAAGACUGGGAUAACUUCGGGAAACCGGAGCUAAUACCGGAUAAUAUUUUGAACCGCAUGGUUCAAAAGUGAAAGACGGUCUUGCUGUCACUUAUAGAUGGAUCCGCGCUGCAUUAGCUAGUUGGUAAGGUAACGGCUUACCAAGGCAACGAUGCAUAGCCGACCUGAGAGGGUGAUCGGCCACACUGGAACUGAGACACGGUCCAGACUCCUACGGGAGGCAGCAGUAGGGAAUCUUCCGCAAUGGGCGAAAGCCUGACGGAGCAACGCCGCGUGAGUGAUGAAGGUCUUCGGAUCGUAAAACUCUGUUAUUAGGGAAGAACAUAUGUGUAAGUAACUGUGCACAUCUUGACGGUACCUAAUCAGAAAGCCACGGCUAACUACGUG
rnacentral:rRNA from 1 species